UACGGGGGGGGCAAGCGUUGUUCGGAAUUACUGGGCGUAAAGGGCUCGUAGGUGGCCAACUAAGUCAGACGUGAAAUCCCUCGGCUUAACCGUGGAACUGCUUGGUAUACUGGCUGUCUUGAGCCACUUAGGGGCGACCGGAACAAACGGUGGAGCGGUGAAAUGCGUAGAUAUCGUUUGGAACGCCAAAGGUGAAAACAGGUCGCUGGGAGUGUGCUGACGCUGAGACACGAAAGCCAGGGGAGCAAACGGG
rnacentral:rRNA from 1 species